rnacentral:rRNA from 1 species
UACCAGCACCCCGAGUGGUCGGGACGUUUUAUUGGGCCUAAAGCAUCCAUAGCCGGUUCUACAAGUCUUCCGUUAAAUCCACUGCUUAACAGAUGGGCUGCGGAAGAUACUAUGGAGCUAGGAGGCGGGAGAGGCAAGCGGUACUCGAUGGGUAGGGGUAAAAUCCGUUGAUCCAUUGAAGACCACCAGUGGCGAAGGCGGCUUGCCAGAACGCGCUCGACGGUGAGGGAUGAAAGCUGGGGGAGCAAACCGG